GACAAGCAUCAAAAGGACCAUCGUGAUGAAAGCUACCAGAUCCAUAAAGCCCUGUUACGUCCAAACGAUCUAUCUGAUCUAAUGGUUCUUUUGACGACCGACCAGGACGAUGUGAUCCCUCUCGUACAGACUUGUAGCGUCGAAUGCUACCCCUGCUUUUCAAACUGGAUUGGGUGGAUGGUGAACUGUCGUUAUGCGAUGGAGAACGAUGGCGACUAGAGCUGGCAACAUGAGUACUACGAGCUCUAGCAAUUUUCGAAUAUCUUGGAGGGGGGUCAAAAGUGCCCAUCGAACUGUUAGAUCGUUCGGCUAAUGCCUCCGCAGAUUUUUUAACGGGACUUGCUGAAGCAGAGGAAGCAGGAGAUGGCUCCUUCUUC